rnacentral:rRNA from 1 species
AAUCAACGCUGGCGGCGUGCCUAACACAUGCAAGUCGAACGAGAAAGGGGAGCAAUCCCUGAGUACAGUGGCGACCGGGUGAGUAACACGUGACUACCUACCCUUGAGUGGGGGAUAACCUCGGGAAACCGAGGCUAAUACCGCAUAAUAUCGAGAGAUCAAAGGAGCAAUCCGCUCUUGGAGGGGUCGCGGCUGAUUAGCUAGUUGGUGAGGUAAUGGCUCACCAAGGCGAAGAUCGGUAUCCGGCCUGAGAGGGCGCACGGACACACUGGAACUGAAACACGGUCCAGACUCCUACGGGAGGCAGCAGUGGGGAAUUUUGCGCAAUGGGGGAAACCCUGACGCAGCAACGCCGCGUGGAGGAUGAAGCUCCUUGGAGUGUAAACUCCUUUCGACCGGGAAAAUAAUGAUGGUACCGGUGGAAGAAGCACCGGCUAACUCUGUGCCAG